rnacentral:rRNA from 1 species
CCGUAUGGCGACCGGCGCACGGGUGAGUAACACGUAUCCAACCUGCCGAUAACUCGGGGAUAGCCUUUCGAAAGAAAGAUUAAUAUCCGAUAGGAUAUCAAGGUCGCAUGAUCUUGAUAUUAAAGAAUUUCGGUUAUCGAUGGGGAUGCGUUCCAUUAGUUAGUUGGCGGGGUAACGGCCCACCAAGACGACGAUGGAUAGGGGUUCUGAGAGGAAGGUCCCCCACAUUGGAACUGAGACACGGUCCAAACUCCUACGGAAGGCAGCAG